AGAGUCUGUUAUAAUGAUAGAGAGGUGCGGAGGUGGCAUGUUUUGUUUUUGAGAGCCACUGCACAUGACUGGCCAUGGACAGCCUGUGAUGGAAACUGAGCCAGUAUCAGCGAGGACACCAGAAGAAAGUCAUACAGCACUCCCAGAGGGAGGGUUCAGACAGCUCUCAGCCAGAGAGAAGAUGAAAGACCGCCUGUCUGCGCUUUGAACAGGGCCAUUCAAUGGGAAAGAAGCGCCGCUUAGUGUUACUCGUUGAGGCGCGCAGUGAUGACGUCUGAGCGGUGGGAAAGCGCCAGAUUCAGAUCUCAACAAUAGACAUAUUCCAGCAACUCUAAACCUUUA